rnacentral:rRNA from 1 species
UACGUAGGGUGCAAGCGUUAAUCGGAAUUACUGGGCGUAAAGCGUGCGCAGGCGGUUAUUUAAGACAGAUGGGAAAUCCCCGGGCUCAACCUGGGAACUGCAUUUGUGACUGUAGAGCUGGAGUGCGGCAGAGGGGGAUGGAAUUCCGCGUGUAGCAGUGAAAUGCGUAGAUAUGCGGAGGAACACCGAUGGCGAAGGCAAUCCCCUGGGCCUGCACUGACGCUCAUGCACGAAAGCGUGGGGAGCAAACAGG